AGAGCACUUCAUCUGAGAUCACCACGUGGAGGAAGCCACAGACGGGCAGCCCCAUCUGAGCUCCCAGCUGACAGCCAGUGUCGCCUGCCAACCUGGACAUCCAGCCCCGUCCAGCCUUCAGCUGCCCACAGCCCCACCACUAUCUCAUGGUCACCGCAUAGACCACCCCCCCCCACAAGCAAGAAAUGCCUGGCUGAGCCCUCAACGAACUGCUGAGCCAUCAAAUCAUACAAAGUCUGUGAGAGGAAAGCCCUUCCCUGCUUUGAUCACCUGUGUGUCCCCUGCUCCUUGUAUAAAGCCUAGCACAAGAUAAGCAUGGAUACAUGUUGAUUAAAUGAAUGAAUAUACAAAGAAGGACACAGUCAUGAAAAGAUGAGAGGGACAAACAUUUCUGUCAGAGAGAACCGCAAGAAGAAGUGAGGAGGGUGGUGUGUUCCAGGCUGAAUAGUAUUCCACUGCGGGUAGAUACCACAUUUUGUUCACCCACUCGUCAACACGGGUGGACGGAAAUGUUUAAGGCUCGCUUCAGGGCCAGGCGACACUGCCCCGCGGGGUCAACAAGGGCCAAGGACGCAGCCAG